UAGUCCACGCCGUAAACGAUGAUUACUCGUUGUUGGCAAUACAUCGUCAGCGACUGAGCGAAAGCAUUAAGUAAUCCACCUGGGGAGUACGAUCGCAAGAUUGAAACUCAAAGGAAUUGACGGGGGCCCGCACAAGCGGAGGAACAUGUGGUUUAAUUCGAUGAUACGCGAGGAACCUUACCUGGGCUUAAAUGUAGAACGACGGACCGGGAAACUGGUCUUUCUUCGGGCGGUCUGCAAGGUGCUGCAUGGCUGUCGUCAGCUCGUGCCGUGAGGUGUCGGGUUAAGUCCCAUAACGAGCGCAACCCUCAUCAUUAGUUGCCAGCGAGUAAUGUCGGGGACUCUAAUGAAACUGCCGGUGUAAACCGAGAGGAAGGUGGGGAUGACGUCAAGUCAGCACGGCCCUUAUGUCCAGGGCUACACACGUGUUACAAUGGUAUGUACAGAGGGCAGCGAGCCUGCGAGGGCCAGCUAAUCCCUAAAAACAUAUCCCAGUCCGGAUUGG
rnacentral:rRNA from 1 species